rnacentral:rRNA from 1 species
GGGUCAGUAGGUUGGUCGUGCCACCGGUACGUACUGGUCUCACUGAUUCCUCCUUCCCGAAGAACCGUAAUGCCAUUAAUUUGGUGUUGCGGGGAAACAGGACUGUUACUUUGAAAAAAUUAGAGUGUUUAAAGCAAGCUAACGCUUGGAUACAUUAGCAUGGAAUAAUGAAAUAGGACGAUCGAUCCUAUUUUGUUGGUUUCUAGGAUUGACGUA